rnacentral:rRNA from 1 species
UACGGAGGGUGCAAGCGUUAAUCGGAAUUACUGGGCGUAAAGCGCACGCAGGCGGUCUGUUAAGUCAGAUGUGAAAUCCCCGGGCUCAACCCGGGAACUGCAUUUGAAACUGGCAGGCUUGAGUCUUGUAGAGGGGGGUAGAAUUCCAGGUGUAGCGGUGAAAUGCGUAGAGAUCUGGAGGAAUACCGGUGGCGAAGGCGGCCCCCUGGACAAAGACUGACGCUCAGGUGCGAAAGCGUGGGGAGCAAACAGG